rnacentral:tRNA from 1 species
UUAAAGGGACGAGGAUUCAACUCGCUCCUAUGAAGUCAAAGUUCUUUGUUUUCCCAAUUAAACUCCCCCUA